CACGAUCCAAACCCAUGACGAGUUCACAAACUUCAACUCCACUUCCUGCUAAGCUUUUGUACGUGCAGAGAACAUAAUCCCUUCAGAUCAACGCUCUUCUCCGGCGCCGAGAGACCCCUUCCGGAUUCGACCGCGAGCCACCCCGAACGGAUGAGGAAUUCAAUUUAGCAUCCAUGUAAUCGAAUCUAAUUCCGAGUCCGUGUUCAAUCUUGUGUUUGGAGGAGAAAGAGCAAAGUAAGGAAACAUAUGGAUUCGACGCUCCAAGCAAUCCGAUGGGAUCGUCCUCUUUGACUACGAUGCUUAUUUUCUCUUGCGGUCUAUAGCUUUAUCGAUUCGUCGGCAACGUCGCGUCGUCGUUGAAUUGUGCUGCGAAUUAGGAGUGGCGAUGAAUGAAGAAUUUGCAUCGCGAAUGGUGGUUUAUUCUCAGCAUCUCCACAGAGUUUCUCCUAUCAAAUUCCUACUGCGCGCUUCUUCGAAUGCUUCAGCUGUUCUCUUGUGAUUUGUCCGGUUAGGCCUUGUUUGCUAGUGAUUGGAGGCGCAGUUAGGUAGUAUUCGGUGUCCCUGAAGAAAAAGGUUUUGUUGUUAUAUGUCUUCUAUAUCAGUUGAGGCAGUUAUAGAUGGAAGAGUUGUUGCAGGGGUUGCAAAAUGGGGAAGAUGAGGGUGACGAAGAUGGAAUGAGGUCGAGAAAGUGAGAGAGAGUGAAGGUGGCAAAAAACGAACCCCCGUUCUGAACUGUGAAGGUUUCGUUUGGAGUGCAUGCUGGUUCUAAAUCAUGCCGGUCAUAAUCGCUAGCUAUGGUUGCAAUUGCGAAUUGGUGUGUUGGCUGCGUUUGUUGCAGGACUGUUUUUGGAUUUGUGGUUUUUUUACAGGGUGCAGAAUUGACUGUUGUCGUUUCAGUUUGCAGCUGGCUUUUGUGUCUUUCAUUCGUCUUCACCAUCAUUUGCUUCUUUAACAUCAAGGGUAAAACCAUACUCCUGAUCACAACCCAUGUAAGAAUCACACAUGAAGUAGAAGACAUGGGAUUUCUUUCCAACAUCAGCAGGAGCACUAAACUCCAGUUCGGCUUUCAACUUCCGCUGCAACAACACCCGUUUAAUUGUAGGUAACAUGUUGGUUUUGGGAGGUCUUUGCGUUUCCGGUUGCCGCAUUGAAUUUUUUUGUUGCCGUAUCGGUUGGACUGUCGUGUGUUUAUGACGAAUUCUGCAGGUGGAUUAUUCGAUUGUUGAUGAAAACUUUGUUGCUUAUGUUCUGCUCGUGUAAAAUUUGAAUGAACUUCAGCUGUCAGUUAUCCUUACGCAACGACAUCCUACUUUCAGUGAGAUGAACACGGCUAGUCGUGCUGAAAAGUCAUGUUAUGCUUUGAACUAUUGGGAGGUUUUUGUGUGAGUUGUUGCGUUCCGCCGUGGGAACGAAAGCGAAACAGGUUUUGUAUUUACAUGGCUUUACGUUAUGCGGUGAUUUGUUAUGGUCUACUUCCAUGUUGAAUAUAAGCUGCAAGAUUCGCAUUGGUUGUUGUAUUGGAUGGCGAAGCUAACCGUUAUGCAUUUCGUCAUGGCCAUGCUGCUACACUGCUAUACCAGACCUGAAUGUUGGGUUGUUGGAUUUGGCCACAUUGGUUGUGGGAUUUAGUUGAUGGAGCUCCAAGUUGUAACCGUGACCGUUUCCGUUUUGGCCAUAGUUAUUUGUAUUAGGAUAUAGACAAUGGAUGUAAUAGAAUGGACUUGUAUGGAUAUUGGAAUGAUCUAUCAUAGGUUAGAGUUAGAUAUUUAGAAUUGGAUAAUUGUCUUUGAUUAUGUAGAAGGAUAUUGGUUCAAAUGGUAUGGUUAAUUAGGAAUAGAUUUUGGUUGUAUUAAAAUAAUGGAUUUUGGUUGUAUACUGACUACCCAUUGAAUAAAAUUGAGGCAUGAAAUAGUUGUUCCAAGUAA